rnacentral:ncRNA from 2 species
AGUGGUGAUAGAGGUGCGGACUUUCAUCAGUAGAUGCUUCGAGGAGUAUGGGCUCUUAUGAAGGGUAUCGAAAGGGAAAUUCGCCGAAGUGGAAGCAGGCUCAUAUCUGUUUGCGCUGGUUCUGUGUUUAAGAGAUGCAGGAUUGUCAAGAUUAACAGUCUUGGAGAGCUAUCUCACGU